UGGGUUGUGGCUCAGUGGUAGAGUGCUCGCCUAGCAUGUGUGAGGCCUUGGGUUUGAUCCUCAGCACCACAU
rnacentral:tRNA from 1 species